rnacentral:rRNA from 1 species
GAUGAACGCUGGCGGCGUGCUUAACACAUGCAAGUCCAACGAAGCAUUUAAGACAGAUUCCUUCGGUUUGAAGUCUUUUAUGACUGAGUGGCGGACGGGUGAGUAACGCGUGGGUAACCUGCCUCAUACAGGGGGAUAGCAGCUGGAAACGGCUGGUAAUACCGCAUAAGCGCACAGUACCACAUGGUACAGUGUGAAAAACUCCGGUGGUAUGAGAUGGACCCGCGUCUGAUUAGCUUGUUGGCGGGGUAACGGCCCACCAAGGCGACGAUCAGUAGCCGACCUGAGAGGGUGACCGGCCACAUUGGGACUGAGACACGGCCCAGACUCCUACGGGAGGCAGCAGUGGGGAGUAUUGCACAAUGGAGGAAACUCUGAUGCAGCGACGCCGCGUGAGUGAAGAAGUAGUUCGCUAUGUAAAGCUCUAUCAGCAGGGAAGAUAGUGACGGUACCUGACUAAGAAGCUCCGGCUAAAUACGUG